GUUAUGAUAUUGGCUUGAAACCAAUCCCAGAGGGUUCGACUCCUUCCUUUCUUAU
rnacentral:tRNA from 1 species